AUUCAUUUUGUCAGCAUUUACACUAAAAUUGGAACAAUACAAAGAUGAUUUGCAUGGUCCCUGUGCAGAAUGAUGUGCAUACUUGUGAAGUUUUCCAAAUUUAA